UACGGAGGGUGCGAGCGUUACUCGGAAUCACUGGGGCGUAAAGCGCGCGCAGGCGGGCUGAUAAGUUGGAUGUGACAGCCUACGGCUUAACCGUAGAACUGCAUCCAAUACUGACCGUCUAGAGUCUGGAAGGGGAAGAUGGAAUUAGUGGUGUAGGGGUAAAAUCCGUAGAGAUCACUAGGAAUACCAAAAGCGAAGGCGAUCUUCUGGAACAGUACUGACGCUGAGGCGCGAAAGCGUGGGGAGCAAACAGGAUUAGAUACCCUGGUAGUCCACGCCCUAAACGAUGAAUGUUAGUCGUCGGGUAGCUAGUCUAUUCGGUGAUGCAGCUAACGCAUUAAACAUUCCGCCUGGGGAGUACGGUCGCAAGAUUAAAACUCAAAGGAAUAGACGGGGACCCGCACAAGUGGUGGAGCAUGUGGUUUAAUUCGAAGAUACGCGAAGAACCUUACCUGGCCUUGACAUUGAUAGAAUUCUGUAGAGAUACGGAAGUGCCCUUCGGGGAGCUUGAAAACAGGUGCUGCACGGCUGUCGUCAGCUCGUGUCGUGAGAUGUUGGGUUAAGUCCCGCAACGAGCGCAACCCUCGUCACUAGUUACUAACGGUUCGGCCGAGGACUCUAGUGAGACUGCCUUCGCAAGGAGGAGGAAGGUGAGGACGACGUCAAGUCAUCAUGGCCCUUACGGCCAGGGCGACACACGUGCUACAAUGGGUAGGACAAUGAGACGCGAUACCGCGAGGUGGAGCAAAUCUAUAAACCUACUCUCAGUUCGGAUUGUACUCUGCAACUCGAGUGCAUGAAGCUGGAAUCACUAGUAAUCGUAGAUCAGCCAUGCUACGGUGAAUACGUUCCCGGGUCU
rnacentral:rRNA from 1 species